GUCUAUGGCCAUGCCACUCUGAAUGUGCCCGACCUCGUCUGAUCUCGAAGCUAAGCAGGGUUGGGCCUGAUUAGUACUUGGAUGGGAGACCACCUAGGGAGACCAGGUGCUGUAGGCG
rnacentral:rRNA from 1 species